UUUUCUUUCUCCAGUAUUUGUGUUUAAAUUUCCAUCUUUUUCUUUCAGAUUAGCUAAAUUCUGCUUCUUUCUUUUAAUUAGUAAUGGGAGGCGAAAUGGCCUUCAAUCUUAUGCGGUCAUGAACCUAUGAGAUAAAUUAGUUAUCCCAAAAAUUACAACCAAAUGGGGAGCUCUCAAUACAAACAAUGAGGAAGUGGCUGAUGAAUUGAAAGUGCUUUUGAAUUUUUUAAUUGGAAGCCGAUAUCUAUAUAUAGCUGGUGAAGCAAAAAUAUAUAAAGAACUGAAAAGCCAAGAAUACAAUCUUUCUAUUGUAAGCCUCCUAACCUGUAUAGUCCAAUGUGUAUUAAUUCCUAUGGGUGUCUCUCUUUUUUUGCAGUUGUUCAAAUUGAAUUCUUUAUGGGAACCAGAUAGAGAAAUCAACAUUCAGAUACAAACCAAUGAGAAAAUAGAAUGCUUGAGAAGAAUCAGAUUGAAGAUGAACAUCAGCUUCGUUCUUGGUAGAAGAGAUGUACUCUUUGGUGGUCUAAUGGAAGGUCUGCAUCAGCAUGAAGCACAUGGAGGUUGCAAAAAUGAUCACGAUGCAUAAGAUUUUCUUUACAUAGCAAAAUCACUUGAAGCAGAGAGCAAUGGAAUAGUACUCUCAAUUGAAAAAAGUUAAAGGAGAUAUAAUACUAUUAUACAGAAUUCGUCCUUAUUUUAAAAGUUCCACGUUCGUGAACAUAUCACCAUUCACUUUUCCACUACUUUAAGACACAUGCGAAACCAAUAUUCGUAAUAAAUAUAUUUCCUAAAUCUCAAACAAACCAAACUGUAGCCCUUUUUUAACACAAACUGUAGCUAAAUACAAAAAUAAUACAAUUGUUUUACUCGGCUGAUUUUCUCGGCAAUGAAAAACAAAACUCCUAUGCAAAAAAAAAAAAUAUAAACAAAUGAAAGUAAAUGGAACUAUAAAA